rnacentral:misc_RNA from 1 species
UACGGAGGAUCCAAGCGUUAUCCGGAAUCAUUGGGUUUAAAGGGUCCGUAGGCGGGUCAAUCAGUCAGUGGUGAAAGUCUGCGGCUUAACUGUAGAAUUGCCAUUGAUACUGUUGUUCUUGAGUGUUUAUGAAGUGGUUAGAAUGUGUAGUGUAGCGGUGAAAUGCAUAGAUAUUACACAGAAUACCGAUUGCGAAGGCAGAUCACUAAUAACACACUGACGCUGAUGGACGAAAGCGUAGGUAGCGAACAGG